rnacentral:sRNA from 1 species
UUUUUGCAAUAGGGAUGGAAGCGGCAUCCUUUUUCCGGAGUGAGGUGGCGGAGCGUAGCGGAGCCAACCGAGCGGAGGGAAAAGAUAUAGCGAACAGCCCGACCCGAG